UGCUCGCAUGCUGCAGACGUGCGUCCGCUCAGCGCUGGCCACGUCACCUCUGCUCAGUGCUUCCAUCUCAUGAUCUUAAUCACUACAGGCCACGUGAGUGAGACCAAAUUUUAUCUUUUUUCUUCUUCUUACAGGGGUCUGAGAAUAUUUCUCUUCUGUCUCCUUAUGUCUCACAUGGUUUCCUAAUGCUACUCUCAGGUUUUACAGUCCCUUAGGCAAGAAUUUGUAGUGACAGAUGAUGGGGUCUCUUCGCAGGUCCCAGAUUCUGGGAAGGACUGGAAAACGCUCAAUGACAAGACAGCCCUGUGGGGAGCAGAAUGCCACCUGAAACGGGGGGUUCAUCCAGAGGAAAGCACUUUGGAGGGGUCACGGGGCUCACAACAAAGAGCAGGGGACACUCAGAAGAGAGAGACAGCCAGCCAGCGAGAGGGAACACAAGCAGGGGGAGUGUGAGAGGAAGAAGCAGGCUCCCAGCCGAGCAGGGAGUCCGAUGCGGGGCUCAGUCCCAGGACUCUGGGAUCACGACCUGAGCCGAAGGCAGACGCUGAACGACUGAGCCACCCAGGCGCCCCAGGGUGGAGAUUUCUUAUGUGUAGCCCUAAUUCUCCUUCACGGCUAUUUGAUUCUAUUACUUCGAAACCAGGUACAUUCACAUCGGCACAUCUGCCCUCACCUGCAACCAGCUCUUCAUGCACUUGAGACAAAGCCCCGAUCUCAUCCAGCUUAACUUUUUUUUUUAAAGGGGCGAGAGAGGGGAGGUGAAAUUGUUAAUUUAAAUUGUUUUUAACGGGUGUAUUUGCUGUAGCUUUUUCUUUAGGCAGAUGAAACAAUGAGUAUAUCCAUAUAAACCUUGGCAUUUCUUUCUUUGUAAUCCUUGUGAACAUCACUGUUCUCUGGUGUGUGGUUUCUGAGGCUUUGAGGCUGAAUGUGAAGGGGGGCAGGACUCACCGUGUGCCCAGCUCUGCUCUUGCUGCUCAGCCGGGCUUCGGGCUGCUCCGAUCCCUAGUACUGUGACCUCCUCAGGAUCACAGACUUGCGUGUGUCCCCCGAGGUUCCGCUAAUAAGGUAACAAAAUGAACCACUUCCUUCUUGCAGAUGGAUUUCUGGGACGGAAUAUAUUAUGCUGGCCUGAAAUAAAUGAAAGGCUUGAGUUACUGUGGUAUCUUUAGUACUAGGGUCAUCUCUGGGUGGUGGGGAUCAGAGCUUCCCCCCGCCAUGAAAUAUUUUUUUCCUAUAAUGUGCAUAUACUGCUUUAAAGUGAAGCAAGUCUUUGUUUUUUAAAUAAACAGCUGUUAUGCCAACA